CCGAGCCCGGAAGAGUGCCGUAGGUGAGGUCGCCAGCUAGCCGGAGCCGGCAACGUACAGCCCGGCAGGUCGCGCAGCCGCUCCCGGGUCGGGGAAUGGAAGGCAGGCUAUUAAUUUCAGAUACCCUGAGGCAGUAUCGAGGUCGGGGGGAAAACUCAUUUUGCAUCCAAAACAAGCCUAUCUUGAUCUGGUGAUACUGCCGCGGCGGCUCCUCCGGACCCUGGCUCCUACGGGUCCAAAUACACCGAAGUCUGUACCGAAAAGAGAAAUCACUCUGAAGAUUACAGUCCAAACCUCUACUGUGGAUGUAGAAUGGAAUCUCCACCCAAGAAGGUGCAACUGUUCAAUGUCAACCCUCCAGAGAUGAGAAAGCAGGUCAGCAUCUGACCCAGGCCAGGCCAAAUAAAAUCCUUUCCCAGGUUUUAAAAAAUUGGACCAAAGGACCACAGUCCUAUCCCCUCCCGUCUCCGGAUGACUGAACUUUAGCACACUCACAAGGAAUGCCCCCAAGCCAGAUAAAUGCCCUAUCAACUUUUGUCUUUGCCUUCAUCUGACAUGAAAACUGGAAGAAUGCCUUUUGCUGAUGCAGAUGGUUAAUGGUCAUGAGACGCCCCCAGGGGCAGGAAAAAACUCCAGUUCCUGUCCAUGUGGACAUGCACCUCUCUAAUGGUCAGAUUCUGUUUUUAGCUUUGGCCCUUUAAAUUCCCCUGUACCUCUUUUAGUGGUGCGAAGUGCAGCUGCAAAUGCCUCUGGACCCAUUGUCCACCCGAGCCUGCCUGUAUGUAAGUUACCCACAAUAAACUUCAUAACUGUA